GGGGCUGGGGCUCAGUGGUUGAGCACUUGCCUGCAUGCAUGAGGCCCUGGGUUCGAUUCCCAGCACCACCU
rnacentral:tRNA from 1 species